GGCUCAGCGGUCUAGUGGUAUGAUUCUCGCUUUGGGUGCGAGAGGCCAUGGGUUCGAUUCCCGUCUGAGCCC
rfam:Nematostella vectensis strain CH2 x CH6 NEMVEscaffold_330_Cont24019, whole genome shotgun sequence.